UGUGAAUACAUAGCAUAUCAGAAGGCACACCCGGAGAACUGAAACAUCUUAGUACCCGGAGGAAGAGAAAGAAAAUUCGAUUCCCUUAGUAGCGGCGAGCGAAACGGGAAGAGCCCAAACCAACAAGCUUGCUUGUUGGGGUUGUAGGACACUCUAUACGGAGUUACAAAGGACGACAUUAGACGAAUCAUCUGGAAAGAUGAAUCAAAGAAGGUAAUAAUCCUGUAGUCGAAAAUGUUGUCUCUCUUGAGUGGAUCCUGAGUACGACGGAGCACGUGAAAUUCCGUCGGAAUCUGGGAGGACCAUCUCCUAAGGCUAAAUACUCUCUAGUGACCGAUAGUGAACCAGUACCGUGAGGGAAAGGUGAAAAGCACCCCGGAAGGGGAGUGAAAUAGAACCUGAAACCGUGUGCUUACAAGUAGUCAGAGCCCGUUAAUGGGUGAUGGCGUGCCUUUUGUAGAAUGAACCGGCGAGUUACGAUUUGAUGCAAGGUUAAGCAGUAAAUGUGGAGCCGUAGCGAAAGCGAGUCUGAAUAGGGCGUUUAGUAUUUGGUCGUAGACCCGAAACCAGGUGAUCUACCCUUGGUCAGGUUGAAGUUCAGGUAACACUGAAUGGAGGACCGAACCGACUUACGUUGAAAAGUGAGCGGAUGAACUGAGGGUAGCGGAGAAAUUCCAAUCGAACCUGGAGAUAGCUGGUUCUCUCCGAAAUAGCUUUAGGGCUAGCCUCAAGUGAUGAUUAUUGGAGGUAGAGCACUGUUUGGACGAGGGGCCCCUCUCGGGUUACCGAAUUCAGACAAACUCCGAAUGCCAAUUAAUUUAACUUGGGAGUCAGAACAUGGGUGAUAAGGUCCGUGUUCGAAAGGGAAACAGCCCAGACCACCAGCUAAGGUCCCAAAAUAUAUGUUAAGUGGAAAAGGAUGUGGCGUUGCCCAGACAACUAGGAUGUUGGCUUAGAAGCAGCCAUCAUUUAAAGAGUGCGUAAUAGCUCACUAGUCGAGUGACACUGCGCCGAAAAUGUACCGGGGCUAAACAUAUUACCGAAGCUGUGGAUUGUCCUUUGGACAAUGGUAGGAGAGCGUUCUAAGGGCGUUGAAGCAUGAUCGUAAGGACAUGUGGAGCGCUUAGAAGUGAGAAUGCCGGUGUGAGUAGCGAAAGACGGGUGAGAAUCCCGUCCACCGAUUGACUAAGGUUUCCAGAGGAAGGCUCGUCCGCUCUGGGUUAGUCGGGUCCUAAGCUGAGGCCGACAGGCGUAGGCGAUGGAUAACAGGUUGAUAUUCCUGUACCACCUAUAAUCGUUUUA
rnacentral:rRNA from 1 species